CUGCCACAUAAGACAUGACUUUGCUCCUCCUUUGCCUGGUGCCAUGAAUGUGAGGUCUCCUCAGCCACGUGGAACUGUGGCUACCAUUACUGUGCUCACUUUACAGGUGAGGUCUGGAGAUUUAUGUAACAUGCCAAAGGUCACACAGCUGGACAUUGCAGAACCAAGAUUCAAAUCUCCACAGUCUGGCAGGUUCCCCCAGGAGCUGGUGCCUGAGAGCCUGGAGACAAGAGCCUGCUCAUAGGAUCAGCCUGUCUACUGCAAAAAGGCCUCCCCUCCUCCAGCAGCUGAUCCAGUUCUCCCGAUUCCCACUGGGGAUCCAUCUGUUCUUGAAUCUCAAUGCCAGCCUCGUCCUGUGGGAGCCAGUGAAGCUGGUGAUGCCUUUAUGGAGUAUACCUGCCCCUGAUCUUACUAAUAUGGUGAUCAGGCCUGACAUGGAAGAUUACUCUUCUGGAGUUGAGCUAAAGGACAUAAGAACAAAAUAAGCAUUUCUGAUAUGGACACUAUGACCACACACUCGCCUGGCAAAGACAUCGGCUUAUUUCAUUUCACUUGAAUUGGAACCAAAAAAGAAGAAUAUUGGCUAUCUUUGGGGGAGGAUGGGUGGCUACAAAUUACUAACACUAAGAUUUUGUUGUUGUUUUAAAUUAACAAAAGGACUUAAUUAAAGAAGAUUACAAAAAAGAAAAAAGUUAGGUGUUUUAACUCUUCUCAUAAUUCACUUUUAUUACUUGAUUCCCCAUCUAUCAAAUCUUCAAUCCUAAUGUGGAGCCUGAUAUAAAUGAAUUAAGACACAUUUAAGAGUGGAAAAAGUAAGUAUUGGAAAGACCACAAACUCUGUCAACAAAUAUGCAUGUACUUAGCUAGAUGGAAGAGGUCAUUUAUAAAGAGCUGCUUUUUUAAUAAAGAGACAAAUUAGAAUUAUCAAACACACUGCCAGCGGAAAGAAGUGAAAAUUGUGAUUUCUCUGGUCAAAAGGUAAGCUAAAGAGUUGCAAAGCAGAUCUACAUAUCUCAAGAGCCUCAAGAGUUAGCAUCAUAUUGAAACAUAAAAUAUAAGUUAAUAACAAUCUUUGUAAAUCACAAGUAAGAACUUGGACUAUAGGCUUAGGCUUAUAAAGAUGAGAACAUUAUUAUAUUGUAUUUUUAAAACCGUCCCAUUAAAAACACACACAAGGAACACCACUCUCUCUUGAAGGCAAUGAUUUCUGGCUACCUGCAGAAUCCUUUUUUUUCCCUCUCCAGCAUCAGUAGUGAGCCUGAACCAUGGAGUCAGAGUGAUUUAGACUUGAAUCCAAGCUCACAUAGCUAUGGAACAAUAAGCAGUAGUGGACAAGAUUAUUAUUGUUAUUACGUUUGAGAAUGACAUAGAAAACGCCUGUUUAUAAAAGUGGAGGCUAGAGAAGCUUACUUAGCCAAUGGAAUUGUCUGGCCUAGGAAAAAGGGCAAAUUAUGUAUGCUAUAUUUUUAUCGCUUUCUUUUA